GUUUACCUUGUUUCUUAGUGUUAUUGUUGAGUUGUGUGAUACACUUUCGAGCAUGCUUUGUGCUUUUUUGUGCCGUGUUAUUCUUGCCCGAGUGCUGUUUGCUGCUUUUUCUUGUUGGUGCAGGAUUCCGGAGUGUGGGAAGUUUUUCGUGAAGUUGUGAGCGUUUUUGGAUCAAGAGGCAACUAACGGGACAACUGCUGUAGCCAGAGGCGGCCGCCUUCUCUAGGCCACCACCUACUUCUAGGCCACCGCUUUCUCUAGGCCACCGCCUACUUCUAGGCCACCGCCUUCUCUAGGCCACCGCCUACUUCUAGGCCACCGCCUUCUCUAGGCGGCCGCCUACCGCGUGUUCUGGCAGUUACGAAUUUUUUAGUUUAAAACCCAUCUUUAGGGUUUCACUUUAUCACUCUCGUCUCCAGCAGCCUCCAUAGGCGAUUUUCACCUCUUUCUUAAGGUUUUUAGAGUUCCACAACACUUACUUUCAAUCUUGGAUUCAUUGGAUUGCUUUGGAUGUCAAUUAACACUUCAUCGGAUUGGUUUUCCUUGGAUUGCUAUGUUUUGUAAGAACUCCCUUUGAUUCUCUUUGUUUAUGAAUCCCUUGGUUAUUUAAGUCUUUGUUUCUUGUCUUUAAUGAAUAUGAUGAUUGAAGAUUAUUGUUGUUGAUUCUAUAUUCUCUUGGUUUUAUGAAUCUUUUGGUUAAUUGAGUUUUGUGUUUUAUGUAUUUGAUGAAUGUGAAGAUUGAAGUUCAUUGUUGUUGAUUCUAGAUUCUCUUGGUUUUCUAAAUCCUUUGGUUUAUUUGUAAUCUUUAUUUUGUGUUUUGAUUAAUAUGAUGAUUGGAGAUAAUUGUUGUUGAGUUUAGAUAAUCUACGUGAUUCGUAGUUUGUUGCUAUUGUUUACCCUUUUCCUUUCUUGUUGAUGAAUAUUUAGAGAUUCUUUUAUGGAGAUUAAGAUUUUCUUGCAUUCGAAUCUUAUGCUUGAUUGAGUUUCUUGCCUAGGUAGUUAUUAAUCUUAGAUGUUUACGAGUUUAUGAUCGUUUGGUUUAGUGUUUGAGUUUGAAACUCUAGUUGAUUUCGUUAAUGUUCAAAUGCCAUGUUCUAAUUAGUUUGUCCAUGUGUGUUUGCUUAACAUUCAUUUGAUUAAAUGUUAAUAUGUUAUUUCGCCUAGAUAAUCGUUGUUUAUGGUGUUGAAUUGAUGAUUGCUUUCUAGAUUGCUAGUUUAGAACCCUAGCUUUGUUUGCCUUCUUGCAUUCUUAUUGGCUUUCUAUCUUUUGCCUAGUUAACUUUAUAUGCUUUAUUUUAAUUACGCAUUAGUUAAUCGGAGAGAAAGUGUCAGACCCAAACUUCUGAUUAGAGUGUUUAGGUUUAUUUCAUGUUUUCUGUGCGUAGCAUGAUCAAAGCCCUGUUUAGCCUUCCUUGAGAGACGACUUGGGUUAGCUUAUUACACUAGGACGACCUCGUACGAUUGCGAGUCAAUCCAUUAGGUGUUUUGGGUUGAGUCACUUCACUCUUGAUCGGUCCGCCAUCUGAAUCUCCAUCGAGGUUGGCUUGAGAUCUCCGAUUCCUAACCGCUUGAAAAUAGAGAUGGACAUCACAUUGACACUAGCCCCUAAAUCACAAAGAGCCUCGAGAAAGAGCUCUCCUCCAAUCUCGCACUCAAUGGUGAAGCUACCCAGUCUUUUUCUUCGAAANGUCCGAACUCCAAUUUAUGAUCCGUUUGCGCUCACGAACUCGUAUCGAGACGAUCUACAACUUCUAUUUCAUCUAAGUUUUCCAAAUUCGAACUCAAUAAACCUGAAAUUUCCUUCAAAGUUCGAGUAAGAAUCAUGUUUCAAAAGAUAAAGCAAAUUAAGCACAAAACAAUCAUCCAACACUCAAUUUCCUAUAAAAUAACAUCAUAUGAACACUAAAAACCAUGGAAACAUGAGUUUUAUCAACUCCCCCAAACUUAAGCCAUUGUUACGUCCUCGAAAUAAUAGAGAAGAACACAAUCAAUAACACGAAUGAGUAAGAAAUCUAGCUCAUCGAUGACCUCCGAAAAAUAAAGAAAUAAUAGAAUACUCAAAUACUCCAAUAAUUAAGACACAAAAUUACACCAAUAAACACACCUAUAGCAAACCUUGACAUCCAAACAAUUGAAUCUCACAAGUUAUGUGUAUCACUCAACUCUCAAUUUGAUGGAACGGGACGUGUAUAUUCUCAUCGAAUUCAAUGCAAUGUAGGUCACUUACCAUAAGCUUGUCAAUCGUCUACAAUCUCCAUCGCUAAAAGUGUGCCAGGACUAAGAUCAAAAAUGUCUUUUUCUUCGGGUUAUAAUGUAGGGACAUUGGUUAAGGUAGAGAAAUAUAGGCUAGUUGACUCAAAAUAAUUAAGAACACCAACAUCUUAUAACUUCACAAAUCGAGCAUGGAAUAAAUUUCAUCUUCCACCUAACUAUGUCACCAUAAAUGACAUAACUCAAGGGAUUUAAUCAUCACAAUACAAAAAUAAACACUCUUUUAUGCUCUCCAUUUAUUUCCAACAAACAAAAUCGAUUCUCUAACAAAUUUCUCAAUAAACACUCGACUUUCACUAUUUUUUUCUUUUUUUUUCUUUUUUUUUUCUUUUUCUAACAUUUUAUUUUUUUUCUUUUCUUUUUCACAACUUUUCUAGAGCUUAUAAGAGUAAAUAGUAACACAAUAUCAUCCCUCUUUUUUCAUGACCCACUAUGAACAUUCACCACACAGAGAUCCUCAUAUACUACAUCACCCCUUAUCAUCCGGCUAAAUAAUAAAAGCUAAAUAGGCUCAAAGUGGAUAACAAAAGAUAAACUUUUUUUCGUUAAGGACAAUGUUUAGGAAAAAAUUGUGACUAACGAAAGAUGGCCUAAAAUCAUCUCCUAAUCCUGGGCACAACAACAACCUCAACACAGAAACCAUGACAAGUUCUAGAAGAUCACCACAUGCAUGACAAAACUCACAACAACGAAUAAACUGUGUAUGAUAAACAGUUACAGCUCAAAUCCUCACAGAUUUAUUCAACGUCCAAAAGUCAAGGCCAAAAUCACUCAAGAAUUGUGCAAAUUAGUUCCAAUUAUGCUCAAAUCAUCAAAGAAAAUCAAACUCCAAUUUUUUUCCACAGAAAUCAUCAUUGACAUCUCACCAGAAAUCUAAUGGAGCAAUAAUCAUCUCAAAAACAAAACAAUCACACACCACCAACCAAGCAGGAUAAAAUAAUAAAGCCAACAAAAAGGUAAAAGUGAUACACAUAUCUACUCUCACCUCCCUCUCCCAAACUUAUUACAGAACAUAAGUUCAAAAAAGAUAAGUUUGAAUGGAUGAUGAUAUGUGUGUCACUACUCACAGAAACACAUACUCCAUGGUGGUGGUAUGAACAAGGCGCGAGUUCCCGUAUCUUCCAAGCUCAACUAGUACUAAAACCCCCAAAAAUAGAAGAAAACAAAGAAAACAAAGAAACUAAAAGAAAGAAAAACAAAACAAAGAAAAUGGUUGGGUUACCUCCCAACAAGUGCUUAAUUUAACGUCUAAAGCUCGACGAUACCUCAUGGCCUCAAUGAACAUCAAACGCAGCGGGCGUGACAGACCGCCCAACACGAACAGAGGUAGAGGACUCAUGCGCAUCAGCUGCGUGAAUGAUAAUACUUCCAUUCGACAUAUCUAUCAUAGCUCGCCCUGUAGCUAAGAAUGAUCGACCAAGGAUCAACGGCGGAUUUGCAUCUUCAGAAAUGUCGAGGACCAUGAAAUUCGUGGGAAAAACAAGCUUGUCAACCUUCACAAAGAUGUCUUCAAGCUUUCCUCUCGGCUUCAUGUUUACCUUGUUUCUUAGUGUUAUUGUUGAGUUGUGUGAUACACUUUCGAGCAUGCUUUGUGCUUUUUUGUGCCGUGUUAUUCUUGCCCGAGUGCUGUUUGCUGCUUUUUCUUGUUUGUGCAGGAUUCCGGAGUUUGGGAAGUUUUUCGUGAAGUUGUGAGCGUUUUUGGAUCAAGAGGCAACUAAUGGGACAACUGCUGUAGCCAGAGGCGGCCGCCUUCUGGCUAGGCGGCACCGCCUACUUCUAGGCCACCGCCUUCUCUAGGCCACCGCCUACUUCUAGGCCACCGCCUUCUCUAGGCGGCCGCCUACCGCGUGUUCUGGCAGUUACGAAUUUUUUAGUUUAAAACCCAUCUCUAGGGUUUCACUUUAUCACUCUCGUCUCCAGCAGCCUCCAUAGGCGAUUUUCACCUCUUUCUUAAGGUUUUUAGAGUUCCACAACACUUACUUUCAAUCUUGGAUUCAUUGGAUUGCUUUGGAUGUCAAUUAACACUUCAUCGGAUUGGUUUUCCUUGGAUUGCUAUGUUUUGUAAGAACUCCCUUUGAUUCUCUUUGUUUAUG
rnacentral:lncRNA from 1 species